UUUCUGGGAUUAGAUACCCCWCUAUGCCUAGUCGUAAACUUUAAGUAACAUGAAAGCCGCCAGGGGACUAUGAGUUGAACUUAAAACCCAAAGGACUUGACGGUGCCCCAAAUCCCUCUAGAGGAGCCUGUCCCAGAAUUGAUGAUCCGCGUAAACCUUACCAGCUCUAGCUUAACAGUCUGUAUACUUCCGUCGCAAGUCUGCCACGUGAGUGGAAAUCAGCAGGCAAAAUGUUUUUUUACAGUAUGUCAGGUCAAAGUGCAGCAAAUGGGUUGGUGGAGAUGGGCUACACUUUCUAUUUUAGAAGAUACGAAAGACUCUAUGAAAAUUAGUCGGAAGGUGGAUUUAGUAGUAAGAAGAAAACAGGACGUUCUUUUUAAUAUGGCAAUGGGGUGCGUACACACCGCCCGUMCC
rnacentral:rRNA from 1 species